UUACUCCUACGGGAGGCAGCAGUGGGGAAUUUUGGACAAUGGGGGCAACCCUGAUCCAGCCAUGCCGCGUGAGUGAAGAAGGCCUUCGGGUUGUAAAGCUCUUUCGGCCGGGAAGAAAUCGCAUUCUCUAACAUAGGAUGUGGAUGACGGUACCGGACUAAGAAGCACCGGCUAACUACGUGCCAGCAGCCGCGGUAAUAA
rnacentral:rRNA from 1 species